GAUGAACGCUGGCGGCGUGCCUAAUACAUGCAAGUCGAGCGAACAGACGAGGAGCUUGCUCCUCUGACGUUAGCGGCGGACGGGUGAGUAACACGUGGAUAACCUACCUAUAAGACUGGGAUAACUUCGGGAAACCGGAGCUAAUACCGGAUAAUAUAUUGAACCGCAUGGUUCAAUAGUGAAAGACGGUUUUGCUGUCACUUAUAGAUGGAUCCGCGCCGCAUUAGCUAGUUGGUAAGGUAACGGCUUACCAAGGCAACGAUGCGUAGCCGACCUGAGAGGCGGAUCGGCCACACUGGAACUGAGACACGGUCCAGACACCUACGGGAGGCAGCAGUAGGGAAUCGUCCGCAAUGGGCGAAAGCCUGACGGAGCAACGCCGCGUGAGUGAUGAAGGUCUUCGGAUCGUAAAGCUCUGUUAUUAGGGAAGAACAAAUGUGUAAGUAACUAUGCACGUCUGGACGGUACCUAAUCAGAAAGCCACGGCUAACUACGUG
rnacentral:rRNA from 1 species